rnacentral:rRNA from 1 species
UACGUAGGGGGCAAGCGUUGUCCGGAAUCAUUGGGCGUAAAGCGCGCGUAGGCGGCCCGGUAAGUCCGCUGUAAAAGUCCAGGGCUCAACCCCGGGAGGCGGGUGGAUACUGUCAAGCUCGAGUCCGGAAGAGGAGUGUGGAAUUCCUGGGUGUAGCGGUGAAAUGCGCAGAUAUCAGGAGGAACACCAAUGGCGAAGGCAGCACUCUGGGACGUGACUGACGCUGAGACGCGAAAGCGUGGGGAGCAAACAGG